rnacentral:rRNA from 1 species
AUUGAACGCUGGCGGCAGGCCUAACACAUGCAAGUCGAACGAGUGGCGGACGGGUGAGUAAUGUAUGGGAAACUGCCUGAUGGAGGGGGCUAACUACUGGAAAAGGUAGCUAAUACCGCAUACCAUCGGAUGUGCCCAGAUGGGAUUAGCUAGUAGGUGGGGUAAAGGAUCACCUAGGCGACGAUCCCUAGCUGUCCUGAGAGGAUGAACAGCCACACUGGAACUGAGACACGGUCCAGACUCCUACGGUAGGCAGCAGUGGGGAAUAUUGGACAAUGGGCGCAAGCCUGAUGCAGCCAUGCCGCGUGGAUGAAGAAGGUCUUCGGGUUGUAAAGUACUUUCAGCGGGGAGGCGUUACCCGCAGAAGAAGCCACGGCUAACUCCGUGCCAGCAGCCGCGGUAAUUC